rnacentral:rRNA from 1 species
GACGUAGGGCGCAAGCGUUGUCCGGAUUUAUUGGGCGUAAAGAGCUCGUAGGCGGCUCGUUGCGUCGGCUGUGAAAACCCGCAGCUCAACUGUGGGCUUGCAGCCGAUACGGGCGGGCUGGAGUUCGGUAGGGGAGACUGGAAUUCCUGGUGUAGCGGUGAAAUGCGCAGAUAUCAGGAGGAACACCGGUGGCGAAGGCGGAUCUCUGGGCCUGUUCUGACGCUGAGGCGCGAAAGCUAGGGGAGCGAACAGG